UACAGAGGGGGCGAGCGUUGUCCGGAAUUAUUGGGCGUAAAGAGCUCGUAGGCGGUGUGUCGCGUCGGCCGUGAAAACCUGCAGCUUAACUGUGGGCUUGCGGUCGAUACGGGCAUCACUGGAGUUCGGCAGGGGAGACUGGAAUUCCUGGUGUAGCGGUGAAAUGCGCAGAUAUCAGGAGGAACACCGGUGGCGAAGGCGGCUCUCUGGACGGUGACUGACGCUGAGACGCGAAAGCGUGGGGAGCAAACAGG
rnacentral:rRNA from 1 species